UUUCGUUUUGCAGCCCUAGUCAUGACACGACAAUAUCACUGUUCGAAAAACAGACGAUACAUCUACGUAACGUAACGUAUACUAUUAUUAAUUAAUUAAUUAAGAGUUGUAAUACUACUAUAGCUAUUCAUUUGUAAUAAAUAAAUUUUAUAAAAAUAAUCUUUUGAUACUAUCAAAUCGAUUUUGCCAACGUAGCGAAAAUUCUGUAAUGUUAUGUCUUGGCCGUCGCCCGCGUUGUUGUAAAUUUGAAAUUCAGCACGGGAAAAAUGGAGCACCACGGACGGUCACACCUUCACGUUUGAUUUACCUGACACGUCAUCAGUGUCUGUCGCGUCGACGCGCGACGUGUCGAGCAAAGCAGCACAAAGAAGCAGUGCUGCCAGAUUUUGAGCGUACAAAAAUGCUAGAUUUCACAAAAAUGAAAGCUAGAACAAGCUACAAAUUGUAAAAAAUAGGCUACAAAUAAAACAGCACACAGAUAUAUAGAUUUCUAGUUGUGUCUUUAUUUCAUCUAUUUCGCUUUAACUCGAAUCGGUAUAUUUAUCGCUGGAACGUAUUAAAUUUAAAUAUAUCCCGGUAAUUGGUAGUUGGACAGGACGGCGCGAAAUUUAAAAUUCCAAUUUCAAAUGAAGCUAUUUCUUCAAAAGUCUUUGAUAUAAGGCUAUAAGAGCUUUCACAUAUCCGCUUUCAAAUAAGCUAGAUCGACACCUAUCCAGAUGACCCCACUGUUUAUGAAGACAUAUCAAACAAUAUAUUUGACUAAGAAAUGGAGUUGCGUGUUCCCAUCUGUUCAGCGGUCGCCACCUCCUCCAAUAGAUACUUCACCGUAUCUGAAACCAGACCACACUUCCAUAUUACCAACCCUUUAAUGACACACACAAAUCUUACAGAGUUUACAAAAGCCAUACUGGCGUUGGAGGUGUUUCUUUAUUAUGAUUAAUUUAAUUGUCUUUCGAACAUGUUCUUUUAAUUGAAUCAGGCUACAAAUAAAAUACAUGAACUGCGAAAA